rnacentral:rRNA from 1 species
AUUGAACGCUGGCGGCAUGCCUUACACAUGCAAGUCGAACGGCAGCAUGAUCUAGCUUGCUAGAUUGAUGGCGAGUGGCGUACGGGUGAGUAAUACAUCGGAACGUGCCCUGUAGUGGGGGAUAACUAGUCGAAAGAUUAGCUAAUACCGCAUACGACCUGAGGGUGAAAGUGGGGGACCGCAAGGCCUCAUGCUAUAGGAGCGGCCGAUGUCUGAUUAGCUAGUUGGUGAGGUAAAGGCUCACCAAGGCGACGAUCAGUAGCUGGUCUGAGAGGACGAUCAGCCACACUGGGACUGAGACACGGCCCAGACUCCUACGGGAGGCAGCAGUGGGGAAUUUUGGACAAUGGGCGAAAGCCUGAUCCAGCAAUGCCGCGUGUGUGAAGAAGGCCUUCGGGUUGUAAAGCACUUUUGUCCGGAAAGAAAUGGCUCUGGUUAAUACCUGGGGUCGAUGACGGUACCGGAAGAAUAAGGACCGGCUAACUACGUG